UACGUAGGGGGCAAGCGUUGUCCGGAAUCAUUGGGCGUAAAGAGCGUGUAGGCGGUCCGGUAAGUCGGCUGUGAAAGUCCAGGGCUCAACCCUGGGAUGCCGGUCGAUACUGCCGGACUAGAGUUCGGAAGAGGCGAGUGGAAUUCCCGGUGUGAGCGGUGAAAUGCGCGAGAUAAUCGGGAGGAACACCAAUGGCGAAGGCAGCUCGCUGGGACGGUACUGACGCUGAGGCGGCGAAAAG
rnacentral:rRNA from 1 species